rnacentral:rRNA from 1 species
UACGUAGGUGGCAAGCGUUAUCCGGAUUUAUUGGGUGUAAAGGGCGUGUAGGCGGGAGCGCAAGUCAGAUGUGAAAACUCUGGGCUCAACCCUGAGCCUGCAUUUGAAACUGUGUUUCUUGAGUGCUGGAGAGGCAAUCGGAAUUCCGUGUGUAGCGGUGAAAUGCGUAGAUAUACGGAGGAACACCAGUGGCGAAGGCGGAUUGCUGGACAGUAACUGACGCUGAGGCGCGAAAGCGUGGGGAGCAAACAGG